rnacentral:rRNA from 1 species
GAUGAACGCUAGCUACAGGCUUAACACAUGCAAGUCGAGGGGUAGCAGGGUAGCAAUACCGCUGACGACCGGCGCACGGGUGAGUAACACGUAUCCAACCUUCCCAUAACUCGGGGAUAGCCUUUCGAAAGAAAGAUUAAUACCCGAUAGUACUUAUCUAAGGCAUCUUAUUUAAGUUAAAGAUUUAUUGGUUAUGGAUGGGGAUGCGUUCCAUUAGAUAGUUGGUGAGGUAACGGCUCACCAAGUCUUCGAUGGAUAGGGGUUCUGAGAGGAAGGUCCCCCACAUUGGUACUGAGACACGGACCAAACUCCUACGGGAGGCAGCAGUGAGGAAUAUUGGUCAAUGGGCGAGAGCCUGAACCAGCCAAGUAGCGUGAAGGAUGAAGGUCCUAUGGAUUGUAAACUUCUUUUAUAGUAGAAUAAAGUUAGCCACGUGUGGUUAUUUGUAUGUAUACUAUGAAUAAGGAUCGGCUAACUCCGUGCCAGCAGCCGCAGUAAUAC